rnacentral:rRNA from 1 species
AUUGAACGCUGGCGGAAUGCUUUACACAUGCAAGUCGAACGGCAGCACGGACUUCGGUCUGGUGGCGAGUGGCGAACGGGUGAGUAAUAUAUCGGAACGUGCCCAGUCGUGGGGGAUAACGUAGUGAAAAUUACGCUAAUACCGCAUACGAUCUAUGGAUGAAAGCGGGGGAUCGCAAGACCUCGCGCGAUUGGAGCGGCCGAUAUCAGAUUAGGUAGUUGGUGAGGUAAAGGCUCACCAAGCCGACGAUCUGUAGCUGGUCUGAGAGGACGACCAGCCACACUGGAACUGAGACACGGUCCAGACUCCUACGGGAGGCAGCAGUGGGGAAUUUUGGACAAUGGACGCAAGUCUGAUCCAGCCAUUCCGCGUGCAGGACGAAGGCCUUCGGGUUGUAAACUGCUUUUGUACAGAACGAAAAGGUCUCUAUUAAUACUAGGGGCUCAUGACGGUACUGUAAGAAUAAGCACCGGCUAACUACGUGCCAGCCGCCGCUGUAACAC